GGUUGUAGAAUGUAAUUACUGGGUAUAGUAAGGUAUUUGAGACUUUAUUUAUGUGCAAUGCAGUGACAUUGAGGGAUAUUUCGUUUUUCUCCAGGUUUUCAACUGCCAAAAUGUUACCAUUGUUCGAUAUUUGUGCGUGUUAAGAUUUGUAUGUAAUUAUGGUAUAACUAGGUUUAUAGAAUAAAUUUACAAGCAACUAUAAUGUGUUUGAAAUUUUAUUGAUGUGUAAUGCAUUGACUUUGAGUCAGUUUUCGUUUUGUGCCAGGCUGUUCAUAUUUUGGAAAAGGCGCGAGAAAUGUAAACAUUGUUGCUCGCGUUCCUGGGAGCUUGAAGAAAUUUACGAGAUUCAACAUUUCUACGGAAUUGUGAGCAUCACCUGUACAAUGUAACUGUGCAGUACAGUACUGUAAACAAUCGCUUUAAAAACGCAAUAUCUUUCGUAGACAACUGAAAGCGAGCAUUGGAAGUUCGGAACCAUCAACGCACAUGGUUGCUGAGAGUCAACAGCUGUCUCCUGAGCAUCUAUCUACCAUUUCGUGUGGCGAAGACUUGCUUCACCGCCGGACAGACAUCUUUGGAGUUUUAUGAAGGAGUCAACAACAUUGUGACUUGACUACAUUAGUUUUCAAACUCCAAUCAGUGGCACUCUUCAGUGAGGACGAAGAGAUGGCGAUAAUUGACAGCAUUGAAAUGACCAAAUCUCCCACUCCCAUGCUGGUGACAAAUAACACCUUCCAAGAUGUCAUGACCACAAGAGAAAUAGCACACUGCUCUUCUUUCGGAAGGAAAUCCAAAAGUGCCAGCAUCUGCCUGCGAACUUUUAUUUAUACA